rnacentral:rRNA from 1 species
UCCUGGCUCAGAUUGAACGCUGGCGGAAUGCUUUACACAUGCAAGUCGAACGGUAGAGGGGGCAACCCGUUGAGAGUGGCGAACGGGUGAGUAAUAUAUCGGAACGUGCCCAGUCGUGGGGGAUAACGUAGCGAAAGUUACGCUAAUACCGCAUACGAUCUAAGGAUGAAAGCGGGGGAUCGCAAGACCUCGCGCGAUUGGAGCGGCCGAUAUCAGAUUAGGUAGUUGGUGAGGUAAAGGCUCACCAAGCCAACGAUCUGUAGCUGGUCUGAGAGGACGACCAGCCACACUGGAACUGAGACACGGUCCAGACUCCUACGGGAGGCAGCAGUGGGGAAUUUUGGACAAUGGACGCAAGUCUGAUCCAGCCAUUCCGCGUGCAGGAUGAAGGCCCUCGGGUUGUAAACUGCUUUUGUACGGAACGAAAAGGUUUGUCUUAAUACGAUGAGCUCAUGACGGUACCGUAAGAAUAAGCACCGGCUAACUACGUG